rnacentral:rRNA from 1 species
UAAAAAACGAUCAAGCUAAUAAGAGCGUAUGGUGGAUGCCUUGGCAUCAGGCGCCGAAGAAGGACGUGAUAAGCUGCGAAAAGCCACGGGGAGUUGCAAAUGAACCCUGAUCCGUGGAUGUCCGAAUGCGGGAACGCACUCAUGCGAGAGUAUGAGUAUCAUUACAUGAAUUCAUAGUGUAAUGAGGGGAACCUGGGGAACUGAAACAUCUAAGUACCCAGAGGAAAAGAAAGUAAACAAACGAUUACCUAAGUAGUGGCGAGCGAACGGGUAAGAGCCUAAACCGUAUAUAGAAAUAUGUACGGGGUUCGGACACAGAACAUGAACUUAGUCAUAGUAACAGAAGAGUUUGGAAAGGCUCACCAAAGAAGGUGACAGUCCUGUACGUGAAACUAUGAUUAUAUCUACUGUGAAUCCAGAGUACCAUCGAGCACGAGAAAUUCGGUGGGAAUGAGGGAGGCCCAUCUCCUAAGGCUAAAUACGACCUGAUGACCGAUAGAGUAUAGUACCGUGAGGGAAAGGUGAAAAGCACCCCGGGAGGGGAGUGAAAGAGAACCUGAAACCGUAUGCUUACAAGCAGUAGGAGCGCAACGCCUUAGGGCAAGCGUGACUGCGUACUUUUUGUAGAACGGGCCGGCGAGUUACGAUGUGUUGCGAGGUUAAGACAUUAAGUGUUGGAGCCGAAGCGAAAGCGAGUCUGAAAAGGGCGAAAUAGUAGGACGUCGUAGACCCGAAACCGAAUGACCUAUCCAUGAGCAGGUUGAAGCAGAAGUAAAAUUCUGUGGAGGACCGAACGCACGCCUGUUGAAAUAGUCGGCGAUGACUUGUGGAUAGCGGAGAAAUUCUAAUCGAAUUCGGAUAUAGCUGGUUCUCCUCGAAAUAGCUUUAGGGCUAGCCUCGAUGUAGAGAGUACCGGGGGUAGAGCACUGAAUAGGCUAGGGGCCUUCACGGGUUACCGAACCUUAUCAAACUGCGAAUACCGGAUACUUAUAAUCGGGAGUCAGACGGCGUGAGAUAAGUUUCGUCGUCAAAAGGGAAACAGCCCAGAUCUACAACUAAGGUCCCCAAGUUAAGGUUAAGUGGUAAAGGAUGUGACAUUGCUUAGACAACCAGGAUGUUGGCUUAGAAGCAGCCACUCAUUCAAAGAGUGCGUAAUAGCUCACUGGUCGAGUGAUGUUGCGCCGAAGAUUACCGGGGCUAAAACCUUACACCGAAGUUUAGGAAUUAAUGUAAAUUAAUUGGUAGAGGAGCAAUGUAUGCGAGCAGAAGCAGUAUCGAAAGGGGCUGUGGAUUGCAUACAAGAGAGAAUGCCGGCAUAAGUAGCGAGAGAGAAGUGAGAAACUUUUCCGUCGAAAGCCUAAGGUUUCCUGGGGAAGGUUCGUCCGCCCAGGGUAAGUCGGGACCUAAGUUGAGGCUGAAAAGCGUAGAUGAUGGACAACUGGUUGAUAUUCCAGUACCUCCGCAAUAGUUCGAAGCAGUGACACAGAAGGAUAGUCAGACCACGGGGAUGGAAAUUCCGUGGCUAAAUCAUGAGGCUUACACGUAGUGAAGUACGCGUGUUAUAAGGCUAGGUGAUGACGGGGAGAGCUUAGGCUCGAAGCUGAUGAAUUCACGCUGGCGAGAAAAACUGCUAAGGUAGAUAUUGAGGAGCCCGUACCGCAAACCGACACAGGUAGGCGGCAAGAGAAUUGCAAGACGAACGGGAUAACUGUUGGUUAAGGAACUCGGCAAAAUGACCCCGUAACUUAGGGAGAAGGGGAGCCUAGCGAUAGGUCGCAGUGAAAAGGCCCAAGCGACUGUUUAUCUAAAACACAGGUCUCUGCAAAAGCGCAAGCUGA